AAUCAACGUUGGCGGCGCGCCUAACACAUGCAAGUCGAACGAGAAAGUGGAGCAAUCCAUGAGUAAAGUGGCGUACGGGUGAGUAACACGUGGGUAAUCUGCCUGUUAGUGGGGAAUAACCCUGGGAAACCGGGGCUAAUACCGCAUAAGUUCGUAAGAAGAAAGUCGAAAGACGCUGACAGAGGAGCCCGCGGCCGAUUAGCUAGUUGGCAGGGUAAAAGCCUACCAAGGCGACGAUCGGUAGCCGGCCUGAGAGGGCACACGGCCACACUGGCACUGAAACACGGGCCAGACUCCUACGGGAGGCAGCAGUGGGGAAUCUUGCACAAUGGGGGAAACCCUGAUGCAGCGACGCCGCGUGAGUGAUGAAGCCCUUCGGGGUGUAAAGCUCUUUCGACGGGAACGAUUAUGACGGUACCCGGAGAAGAAGCUGCGGCUAACUACGUG
rnacentral:rRNA from 1 species